rnacentral:rRNA from 1 species
CGAACGGGUGAGUAACGCGUAGGUAACCUACCUCAUAGCGGGGGAUAACUAUUGGAAACGAUAGCUAAUACCGCAUAAGAGAGACUAACGCAUGUUAGUAAUUUAAAAGGGGCAAUUGCUCCACUAUGAGAUGGACCUGCGUUGUAUUAGCUAGUUGGUGAGGUAAAGGCUCACCAAGGCGACGAUACAUAGCCGACCUGAGAGGGUGAUCGGCCACACUGGGACUGAGACACGGCCCAG